rnacentral:rRNA from 1 species
GGCGAACGCUGGCGGCAGGCCUAACACAUGCAAGUCGAACGGAUCCUUCGGGAUUAGUGGCGGACGGGUGAGUAACACGUGGGAACGUGCCCUUUGGUUCGGAACAACUCAGGGAAACUUGAGCUAAUACCGGAUGUGCCCUUCGGGGGAAAGAUUUAUCGCCAUUGGAGCGGCCCGCGUCUGAUUAGCUAGUUGGUGAGGUAAAGGCUCACCAAGGCGACGAUCAGUAGCUGGUCUGAGAGGAUGAUCAGCCACAUUGGGACUGAGACACGGCCCAAGCUCCUACGGGAGGCAGUAGUGGGGAAUCUUGCGCAAUGGGCGAAAGCCUGACGCAGCCAUGCCGCGUGAAUGAUGAAGGUCUUAGGAUUGUAAAAUUCCUUCACCGGGGACGAUAAUGACGGUACCCGGAGAAGAAGCCCCGGCUAACUUCGUGCCAGCCGCCGCAGUAA